UACGGAGGGUGCGAGCGUUGUCCGGAAUCACUGGGCGUAAAGGGCGCGUAGGUGGCCGAGCAAGGUCGCGGUGAAAGCCCGGGGCUCAACCCCGGGUCGGCCGUGGCAACUACUGGGCUAGAGCACUGUAGGGGCGGGUGGAAUUCCUGGUGUAGCGGUGGAAUGCGUAGAUAUCGAGAGGAACACCUGCGGCGAAGGCGGGUUGCUGGGCUGACACUGACGCUGAUGCGCGAAAGCUAGGGGAGCGAACGGG
rnacentral:rRNA from 1 species